rnacentral:tRNA from 1 species
GCAUUGGUGGUUCAGUGGUAGAAUUCUUACCUCAAAUGCAGGCGACACAGGUAUGAGUCCAGCCAAUGCA